AUUCAUUGGUCCGAUCUGCCAAAGUUUUGCAUUCAACUUCUGCUAGAGUGAUGAAAGCAUUGAAAAUGCCCUACGAGCAUGUUUUAUAGGUAUUCAGAUUGGUAAAUUUCAAAUUCAUGGAGAAGGUGACAGCGGUCAGCAGGAGAAGGCUAAUAUUGGGAAUGCAUAUGGUGCCAAGCCUUUGAAGUUAGAUGGCAGUGGUGAAGAGUACCCAGGCGUUAGAUAUUAAUCAAGAAAUGAGUAUUCCCUUUUAUUACAUUGUGUCAUUUGAAAUUUAACUGAUUGUUGUGUAAGAUGGUUAUUUUCUACACAAACAUAUAUAUAAAUAUAUGAUC